rnacentral:lncRNA from 1 species
UAGGGUCAUGAUAGCUAUUGGGGUAUCGAAGCCCUUAUAGGGUCUGGUAGCCACCUAGGGUGUCCCAGCCCUGUGGGGAGGACAAGAAGGGGGCUGGGGGGGGAAGGGGGGGCGCAGGCUGCUCUGGGGGCACCAGCCCUCGCUCCUCCCGCCGCCCCAGGACUCGACGCUGAGCGAUGACUCCCCGCCGCCCAGCUCCAGCCCGCGCCUGCCCGGUCCCACCACCACCAAGUGCUCCUACCCCUACCACACGCUGUCCCAGUCCUCGGAUGAGUUCCUGGACGAGCCCCCCGGCGCCGCCGCGGGCUGGACGUGCCGGCAGGUGGGGCAGUGGUUGGAGAGCCUCAACCUGGAGCAGUACGUGGAGGAGUUCUCGGCACACGGCGUCGAUGGCCCCCGGCUCCUGCACCUCGACGGUGCCAAGCUCAAGGUAAGGGGUGGGGGGGGGGGGCUGGGGGUGACAGUCCCUGCCCCUGGGUGGGGUUCUAGGUGCCCCCCUGGGCUCAGGAACGGGGUAAAGAGGUUCUAGGUGUGCCAACGGGGUGCUCCAAGGGGUAGGAAGCUCCUGUUCUAGGUACCCCAACUGCUGUGCCAGAGGGUAACAGGUUCUAGGUAACCCAACAGGAGGCUCGAUGGGGUGGGUUCUAGAUCCCCCAAUGGGGAACACUUGGUUGGGUUCCAAGUUCCCCAACGGGCAGCUCUGUGGGGUAGGAGGUCUGGGUGGGUUCUAGAUCCCCCAAUAGGGUGAAUUUGGUUGGGUUCCAAGUACCCCAACGGACACCUCCAUGGGGUGAGAGAUCUGGGCGGGUUCUAGGUGUCCCAACGAUGCACGUUAGGUUGGGUUCCAAGUACCCCAACGGGCACCUCCAUGGGGUGAGAGAUUUGGGCAGGUUCUAGAUCCCCCAACGAUGCACAUUUGGUUGGGUUCCAAGUACCCCAACGGGCAGCUCCGUGGGGCAGGAGGUCUGGGUGGGUUCUAGGUGUCCCAACGGCCCCAUCAAAGGCCAGCAGGCUCUAGGUAACCCAACAGGCUGCUCCGUGGGACAGAAGUGGGUGGGAUCUACGUACCCCAAGGUGCCCAUCGAGGGCCAAAAGGUUCUAGGUACCCCAAAACACUGCUCCAUGGGGCAGGAGGAGGUGGCCCAACACACGGCGUUCU